rnacentral:lncRNA from 1 species
AUGUGCAUUGCUAUUGAAAGAUAUUAUCUCAUUGCCCGUCCACAGAUGGAAUGUAUCAGACAAGCCAAAGGUGCUGUGGGUGUCUCUGCUCUGGUCUGGACUGUUUGUAUUAUCACUGUAACUUUUGGGAACUAUAUAUUGAUGGCUAUUGUUGUCUUCUUCCCUGGCCUCAUAUUCAUCUACGUCUUAGCUGGGAUGUUCUGCAUUUUGCCUGCUGCCACCUCUGUGCCCACUGAUGAGAAACAAAGAGUUACAGGAACUUUAGUUGUGCUGCUGCUUAACUAUUUCCUGAUGAUUUUUCCCAUGAACAUUUGGGACAUUUUAGCAUUUCACAGUUUUGACAAACUUGAAUAUCCAGAUGUGAUUUUGACUUCAUAUUGGCUCAGUCCCUUUGUGGACUUGAUUCUGCUUGUUUUCAUGCGGAAAGGGUGCAUUGACAAGAUAUUGUCAUGUCUGUGCUGCUGCAUUAAGGACAACAGUGCAAUAGAUGUCAGCGGCUCAUCAACAGCGACAACAGCAGUGUGACUGAUGGUACCACAGACAGGUGGGUUGAUGUAGGUGCAGUUAAAUGGUGAGAGAAAAAAGGGAGAGAUUGACACCCACCCCCCCCCCCAAUUUUAAUGAGUUUUUUAAUAUCUUUUCAUUAUUAACUGACUCAUCAGUGUUUAUUCUAUUCUACUGAUGCAGUAUUGUGUGAUAACAAUUACAUUUUAUUAUUUUAUAGGCUGAUUCUGUUUGGUUUUCACUUUAGAAUUUGUAUCCUCAGGUUUUAUUAUAAUUAUGUAUAUAUUCAUGGUUCAAUAACAAAUCAAACAACUUUUCCACUUUUACGUGAGCUGUUUUAGGUUAUGGUCGUUGAGGUUAAUGCCCUCAAUGAAGGACACCGUCAGCUCUGAGUUCAACAAAUGAAUGAAUAAAUAAAUAAAUGUAACCAAAGACCCAUUCCAUCCUGGACUGCAUUUAUUCCUGACCUCUGCCAGGUGCACAAAGGGCCAAAGAUUUGAAGGGUUUCUUUCACUUUUAUCAAAUGUUCUAAGUGCUGUAAUUAAAACUAUGCUUAAUAAUUAAGUGGUGUAGGUUAAUGCAUGCCCAUACAGUACACAUCACUUUUAGACUGCUCUUCUUAUGAAAGCUUUUUUGGGGUUUUGUUUUUUUUUUCAUUUUUAGCCUUGAUAUCUGUUUUAAACUAGUUUUUUUCAUGUUCAUGUAUUACUGUUGUCUUAUGUUGAUUUUAAUUAUUAUUUCAAACAGUUGCCUUGAGGUGACUGAUGUUGUGAUUUGGCUUCUCUGUCCUGGAAACUCUUAAACUCUGCAGACUACCCCAACCCAGGUUUCCACGCCCUGACUUUAGUAUCAGAUUUUUCGAAUACAUGUGGUACUUACUGACACACAAAACCAACUUCCUGUCCUCACCUCGCUAUGCUGCAGAGCAGUUGAUGAAAAAGCAGGUCUCUGUAUCACUGUGCUUCUGUACAAAUGAAAGGUGUUCUUAUAUACUGCCAAAUCCAAUAUAUUUAACAACGUGUAUGUUCAGUUACUUAUUUAUUAGAUAAUUUAGCUAAUGCACUCAAUCCUGCCUCUGAGGAGGCUAGAAAGUUGUUUUUAUGUGUUAGCUCUGUGACAGACUGCACCUCUCACCCCAGAGCAGCUGCGAUAAGCUCCAAAAGAGUGGAUAUAUCCACUCUUUGUACCUCUUUCUCAGAGGUACAAAGACAGCCGGCCCCAGUCGUCUACUACAUCAACCUCCUGUUCUCCAAUCUAAUCCAGUUCAGCAUCAUAAUCUUUUGGGCAUUUAUAUACCAUGAACAUUCCCAUUAUACAUGUAUUUCUGUUUAUAUUUUCUACUUUGCUGUGGUCGUUCAUCUUAAUUUGAAGAUGCGCAUUGCAACUGAAAGGUAUCAGUUUUUUUGUGUGCCCACUGAAUCACAUUAUAUUUUUAAAAAUCUCGACAUAGAGAAAUAUACUUCAGUGAUAAAUAUGGUGUCUGUCUGUCUUGGUGUUUCUACAUCACCUGCCCACAGCUGAACUGGAUCCAACAAAUGAAGUGUUCUGUGCUGGUCUCUGUUCUGGUCUGCAUACUUUGAAGUGUCACUGUAGCUCUCACAUCAGUCUCAGUCUUAGCCAUUGAUGUUUUAGUCCUCGCCCUCUGUCUCCUGUUCAUUCUCAGCUUAGCUUGGACCCUCAGAGCUCUGCCUGCUGCCACCUCAGCAGUGAUGGGAUUCCAGCUCUUUUUAGGGAACAGGCUCUUUCGGCUCCCAAACGGUUCUUCAGGUUGUUUUGUUGCUUUAAUUAAUUUACAGGGAGUGCAGAAUUAUUAGACAAGUUGUAUUUUUGAGGAAUAAUUUUAUUAUUGAACAACAACCAUGUUCUCAAUGAACCCAAAAAACUCAUUAAUAUCAAAGCUGAAUGUUUUUGGAAGUAGUUUUUAGUUUGUUUUUAGUUUUAGCUAUUUUAGGGGGAUAUCUGUGUGUGCAGGUGACUAUUACUGUGCAUAAUUAUUAGGCAACUUAACAAAAAACAAAUAUAUACCCAUUUCAAUUAUUUAUUUUUACCAGUGAAACCAAUAUAACAUCUCCACAUUCACAAAUAUACAUUUCUGACAUUCAAAAACAAAACAAAAACAAAUCAGCGACCAAUAUAGCCACCUUUCUUUGCAAGGACACUCAAAAGCCUGCCAUCCAUGGAUCCUGUCAGUGUUUUGAUCUGUUCACCAUCAACAUUGCGUGCAGCAGCAACCACAGCCUCCCAGACACUGUUCAGAGAGGUGUACUGUUUUCCCUCCUUGUAAAUCUCACAUUUGAUGAUGGACCACAGGUUCUCAAUGGGGUUCAGAUCAGGUGAACAAGGAGGCCAUGUCAUUAGUUUUUCUUCUUUUAUACCCUUUCUUGCCAGCCACGCUGUGGAGUACUUGGACGCGUGUGAUGGAGCAUUGUCCUGCAUGAAAAUCAUGUUUUUCUUGAAGGAUGCAGACUUCUUCCUGUACCACUGCUUGAAGAAGGUGUCUUCCAGAAACUGGCAGUAGGACUGGGAGUUGAGCUUGACUCCAUCCUCAACCCGAAAAGGCCCCACAAGCUCAUCUUUGAUGAUACCAGCCCAAACCAGUACUCCACCUCCACCUUGCUGCCGUCUGAGUGGGACUGGAGCUCUCUGCCCUUUACCAAUCCAGCCACGGGCCCAUCCAUCUGGCCCAUCAAGACUCACUCUCAUUUCAUCAGUCCAUAAAACCUUAGAAAAAUCAGUCUUGAGAUAUUUCUUGGCCCAGUCUUGACGUUUCAGCUUGUGUGUCUUGUUCAGUGGUGGUCGUCUUUCAGCCUUUCUUACCUUGGCCAUGUCUCUGAGUAUUGCACACCUUGUGCUUUUGGGCACUCCAGUGAUGUUGCAGCUCUGAAAUAUGGCCAAACUGGUGGCAAGUGGCAUCUUGGCAGCUGCACGCUUGACUUUUCUCAGUUCAUGGGCAGUUAUUUUGCGCCUUGGUUUUUCCACACGCUUCUUGCCACCCUGUUGACUAUUUUGAAUGAAACGCUUGAUUGUUCGAUGAUCACGCUUCAGAAGCUUUGCAAUUUUAAGACUGCUGCAUCCCUCUGCAAGAUAUCUCACUAUUUUUGACUUUUCUGAGCCUGUCAAGUCCUUCUUUUGACCCAUUUUGCCAAAGGAAAGGAAGUUGCCUAAUAAUUAUGCACACCUGAUAUAGGGUGUUGAUGUCAUUAGACCACACCCCUUCUCAUUAUUGAGAUGCACAUCACCUAAUAUGCUUAAUUGGUAGUAGGCUUUCGAGCCUAUACAGCUUGGAGUAAGACAACAUGCAUGAAGAGGAUGAUGUGGACAAAAUACUCAUUUGCCUAAUAAUUCUGCACUCCCUGUAUUAUUAACAACAAUAUAAAAUUAUGCACAAAAGGAAUUACUAAUAUAAAAAAGUGGUUUUAUUUAUAUAUGGUUAUAUAUAAAUAUAUACGGUAACCAUGCAGAGAACAGUAGCACAUACAACCUCCAAAAAGCAUGUACAAACUCCAAAACACAUUUCUAGCGUUAACUGAACUUCCAAAUCAGAGCUACCCAGAUCAGUUAAAUUACACAAUUGAAAGCAUAUGUGUAUUGAUUGUGUAUUUAUACACAAGCACUUAUAUAUAUUCAAACAAUUAAAAAAAUUAAUUUACCUGUUACUACUACACACCAAAUCCAGUCGUUGGUACUUCUUGGCUUGAGAAGCCACUAGGUAACAAAAGCUCAACACUGCCCCCUAGCAUCCUGGAGCACUUCUGUUGUGUUUUGAAGUUUGUACGUGCUUUGUCUCUAGGGGCCACCGUAAAUAUACUUUUAUUUGUUCACUCCACAUAAAAUGUAAUAAAUAAAUCAUAUAAUACAAAAACCAACUAUUCACAUUUCAAUUUUUAACUAUUUAAAUAGUUAGGCUUUAGUUUAGGCUUUUUCCAUUUAAACAAAUUUAAAAUGAAACAACACAAAACACUGCAAACCACAACACAAUUAAAUAUAAAUUAAAAUAUGAAAAAGCAGAUGCACAUUCUCUGUCAUAUGGGCCUGCAUGAAUAAACUUUCUGAAUCCUUUAUCAUCCGCAACUGAAAAUAGUUGUGGAUGAUUACUAUACCUUUCUAAUGUGAUGUUGUUGUCCCUGGCUCUCUUUCUCCCUCCCUCCCUCCCGCUCUGUUCCUGUGCUACUGAGUGUAACUACCGCCCCUCCCCCCUCUGCCCAGCGGAAAGCCCAGAGGAAAAAAAGAAUUGUAGGUCCUAGACCCUCUUAACUACGUAUUGAUGAUCUUUACCCACAUCCUUUGUCAGAUUUUAGUAUUUCAAAAUGACUUUGAAAUCCCAGAUGGUGUUGUAGCCUUUUUUCUGUCCAAUCCUUUUGUGGACUUGGUUCUGUUUGUUUUCAUGUGGAAAGGGCCCAUUGACAAGCUGCUGGCUGUUCUGUGCUGCUGCUGUAGGGACAACACUGCAGGAGAUGAGACUGCCAAAUCAGCAUUGUCUGUGAUCAUAGAGCAGACAGAUGGCUUGAUGUAGGCACAGGGAAACAGAGAGAGAAAACACUGGGGGAGAUAGUAAGUUAUAAAGUGAGAUAAACAAAUACCACAAUGUAAAUCUGACA